GCCUGGAAGUCUACAGUCCAUAGGAUCUCAAAGAGUCAGACAUGACUGAAGUGACCUAGCAGGCUUGCACACAAGAGCCUGUGAGCUUUUCUGGAUCCCAUGUGUAAUCUUGCUAGAGACAAGAAGGGCUUGUGUAAGGCUGGACCCAAAGAAGGACUUCCCUUGUCAGGAUAAGAUGAGAACCCUCCACCCCAGCAUAGUCACUGUCUCUCCUUCCCGAUUCUCUCCUCACCUGAUGGCAUCUUCUCCCAUACAGGAAGGAUGAGGGAGGCAUAGCUCUGGCUGUGGUCCAGGGACAAUGCUGGACCAUAUGUUCUAGGAGGGAAGACAGACUGGAAGCUUACUGUGGCUUCUUGGAUCUAAGCUUUAGUUCCAUGGAAUCCGGAGAGGGGAAUCCAGAGGUUCAACCCAUGAGAGCUUCCUGUAAGUGGGGGAUAGAAAGCAGCCUUGAAAAAAUAAAAAACCUCCUGGAGCUGGUCUUGCCUCCAGUCCCAAGGAGACUGUCAGAGCCUUGCAGAGGCCCCUGGAGGUGCCCCGAGGACAGCAGGGGCCUGAGGAGCAGGCCCCUUUAGCCUGGUCCUCCCCAGCCUUGCACCAGCUGCCUUCCUGAAUUUACCUCCCAAUGUUCCCUUGCAGAAGUCCUUUUAAAAACCAAACAGGGCCAGAAAUUGCUGGGCUCUGGAAAUUGCUGCUGUAAGUGAUUGCUCUGGACUCUGUUGGCUUGCAGAUGGGUUGCAACGGAGGAACAAUCACUAAGAGGCAUAAACUGGUGAAGGGGCUGAAGAAGGUUGAGGAGGUCGACAAGGAUGCUAAAUUAGUGGCCCAGUGGAACUACCAAGCUCUAAGUCAGGAAAUAUUAAGACGACCAGUAGUUGCCUGUGAACUUGGCGGACUUUACUACAAAGAUGCCAUCAUUGAGUUUUUAUUGGCCAAAUCUUCUGAAAAGGCUCUUGGGAAGUCAGCCUCUCACAUUAAAAGCAUUAAGAAUGUGACAGAACUGAGGCUCUCCCCACCUGGGAAGGCGAUCAGAUGACCUCCAACGGGCAUGUUUCAUCUGCCCCGUCGUGGGCUUGGAGAUGAACGGCAGACGCAGGUGUUUCUUCCUCCAGUGCUGUGGUUGUGUGUUUCUGGGCGAGCCCUCAAAGAGAUCAAAGCAGAAGUUUGUCACACGUGCAGGGCUGCCUUCCAGGAGGGAACUGGGUCAUCAGGCUCAACGGCACCAAGGAAGGCGUGGAAGUGCUGCUGAAGAGCAGGAUGGAGGAGGUGCGGCUGCGAGCCAAGAUGGGGAAGAAAACAAAGGAACCCAAGGUGCCAGAGUCUGUCUCAAAAUCAGGUGUCAGUGAAGAAGCCCCAGGACCGUCAAAAAUGAAGACAGGGAAGCCUGAAGACCCCAGCCUUGACUCUCGAGAGAAGAAGACCAACUCAGCUCCCAAAAGUGCAGCAGCACCUGGGAGCGCUCUGGAAAAGGCACCAAGAGGUCCAUCGCUGGCAGCGAAGAGUCAGAAGCUUAUGUCUCUCUUCACCACCCACAGCUCUGCCAAGCCCUCCAAGGAGGAGUCAGCCCACCGGGUCACCCACACAUCCUACUGCGUCUGAGGCCCGAGGGGCGGCCUCCCCGGGCCCUGUGCACUCACUUGUCCCCUUAAAGCUGGAGCCACUCGAGUUGGAAGGUGUAGUGGGGACUCAGUGACCCUGCCGGCCCCUGCCUGUCACCCUCUCCCGGUCACCUCCACCCUCUGUGCACUUGGACCUUCCCACGGCCCCGAGAGCAUUUUGACCACAUAUUUAUGCUCAAAAUAAGUAAAGACUCCAGAUUCCUCCUGGGUGUGUGGUCAGCUCAUUUUGACUGAAAUUCUCGUGGUUUUGCUGCCAAUGUUUAAUUAAUUAAGUAAGCCGAGUGAGAUUGAACUUGAGAAAGGAAAAAAAAAAAAAACACUGUCCUUGGACAUUUCCAGCCUCUGACACCCCACUUGCACCCACAGCUAGAUUGUCCUUCUUCCUUCCUCCCACCCAGACUCCCAUGAAAAUGUGUCACCAUUUCUUGUGGACUGAGCAUCACUCUGGCCAGACUCUAAAGUCCCUGUCACCCUUGGCCCCCGCCACCCUCAUCACUUCCCCUUGGAUGCAGGUGGGUUGAGCAGGCACAGGAGGAAAUAUUUCUUGCCAGAAGGUCCCUGGACCGGGAAGCUGCAGGCGAGUGAGACCCGGGGCAGGGACAGAAAGGUGUGCCCGCCUGAGCCAUACUAGAAUCUGCCUAUCCUGUCUCCUACUAACCCACCCGUCAUUCAUGGAGCAUCUCCCUGUGCUGGGCAUGCAUCAUGACAGCUGCAGUGAUGAGCCCAAUUCUCUUCUUGUUGCUCACGGUGUUCGGGAGACUUUGAUCAGAAAGUCAUCACGACAGAGGGAAAGUGCUUUGUGUCAGGAGACAAUGUGACGUGUGACAGAGGCUUCUGAUGGGUGUGUGUCAGACUUCCCUAAAAGAAAGUAACCUUGGGACUUGCCCGGUAGCCCAGUGGUUAAGAAUCUGCCUUGCAAU